rfam:Ricinus communis ctg_1100012356505, whole genome shotgun sequence.
UGUAGAAAGAAGGAGCUCCCUUCAGUCCAAGCACGGAAAAAGAGGGAUGCAAAAUUAUCUCCCGCAUCAUUCAUACAAUCACAGUAGCUAAAACAGUACCAAUCCCUUUGUCUACUAGUGCUUGAAUGAAUGAGUCGGCAGAUACUUCAGCCCCUUUACCCCCAUCCAUGAGUGGGCUGAAGGAAGCUCUCUCACACCAUUUC